CUAAACCGUACCACCAUGAACAAGCCUGAUCUGAAAAGGUAAGAAGCAUUGUAUCUGGCAAAUACUUAGAUGGGAAACUGCCUAGGAAUAUCCAGAGCUGUUUUGA
rnacentral:rRNA from 1 species